AACAGUGGACAUCCGUCACGUUUGAACGGAGCGAAAAAAUCGGAGCAAUGGAGGCGGCAUCUUCGGCCACGGAUCCACCGCCCAUGGCGGCGCGUUUCGUUUCUCCGUUACCUUGUCAAAAUAUAUCAACCGGUACAGCCGUGCAGGCGCAGUGCGUUGACCUGGUGGAUCUUUGAUCUGUCCAUUUAAAUUUGGCAGGUGUAAUUGUCAUUUUAAAAUUUGGCGUGCGGCAUGCAUGAUUACUGAUCACAUAAACAGGUUUGACCCUCCGAUUCGAGUUCACUUGCACACGACUUCACACUCUCCCUCAUAGUUGGGCUGACGAUACCAGCCAUGCCCUCCUCCCUCCAUCGCCGCCGGCUCCUCCUCCUCGUCGUCGCUGCCGCCGCGCUGCGGGGGGCGCCGUUGGCGGACGCCGGCGCGGACACCUGCAAGGCGUGGUUGGUGCAGUCCAUCCCCACGGACAUGCCGCACCUGAGCCGCAUCCCCGGGGUCCUAUCCACGGGAGAUGUGCUCCAGUGGCUCUCGGGGAAUGCAACGAAGAGUCUGGACAUCCUUGCGCAGUACUGGCAGUUCUUGCCCCAGCCGAACAAUCCGAAAUCGGGGGACUACGGGUUUUCCGAGAGUGACAUGAGGAGAUUCGGGGCCGAUGAGGGCCGCCGGGUUUACAAGGCACUGGAAAAUGCUGCAGACCGUAAGAUCAAAAUCAGGAUUGUCCAGCACUCUGGAUUUGCUCCUGAUUUUGACCAAGAGAGCGCAGACCUGGCUGCAGGAAGACCAAAUGUUGAGAACGCAACCGUUCUUUUCGAGGACUGGUGGGGAUCUGGUGUUGUGCACGCAAAGGUCUGGAUAUCAGAUAAGAAGGAUGUGUAUAUAGGUUCCGCAAACAACGACUGGAAAUCCCUUACUCAGGUUAAGGAGCUUGGGAUUUAUUUUGCUGGUUGCCCACAGAUAGCAAAAACUGUGGAGGUCUAUUUUCAAAACCUGUGGACGCUUUCAACCCUCAACUCAACUUUUUACACCAAACAAGCCUGGGAUACGCAGUGGCAAGUUUCUAGAAAGGUUCCAUGCUGGUCUCAUUUCCUACAGCCCAAAGAAAGAUGCAGGUCACCCAUACCACUUUCAGUUGACAUCCCAUAUGUAGAUGGAUAUCCAGCUCUUGCAAAUCCUGAAAUGAUUGAUGUUUCGUUUGAAACCCCUGGGUACAAGAAACCUACUCAGGAGCACUACUUGAGCUACCUUUCCUUUGCGCCACCUGAGUGCAUAUUCAAUGGAAUUUUUCAGUGUGCGAGGAUGCCAAGUUUGUUUGUCUACAUCAUCUGGUUGGCCUAAGAAAAAAGUCAUCUGACUGACCUUGUACUUUCACCCAUACAUCAACAUUUUUCAUAUACAUACAUUAAGUAUUCAUGUUUCAUUACCUUAACUUAUAUGACAUAAUUUUUCGUAAACAUUGAAUUAAGACAUGCAAUAUAAUAAGGUGUUGUUUGGUUUAUAAUUUGUAACGUAAAUGGUAAUGGGUAAUAGGUUUGAAUAGACCGGUAUCAGUUUUUAGUGUGGUCUCUGAUUACGGUUGGACUUAAACAAACAUGAUUUAACGUUAUUGGUUACUCAUCAUAUUACAAUUAUGUGCAGCACCUAAAAGAUAACUGGUCCCGGGGACUAAUUAAUCUAGUAAGUAGUGCAUUUCGGGACGUUGGUUUCAUCUUUUCUUGUUUCACAGGUGACAUUUGGCAGAUUCCAAGCAGAUGAGCAGGGGUGGGUUGACACCAUCAAGUCUGUUAAGCUUGGGGGAAUUGUAAGAAUGAAUACCAUGGAUUGGCUUGGGCAGUCACAGUAUGCUACCCAAACAGUCUACUGGUCAUCUUUAUCGUCAGCAAUCUCAGAGGUAGUAUUCUCAAAGAACGCGACCGUGAGGCUACUCGUCGCCUACUGGGCGCAUCUCAUCCCAAACACCGAGAAAUACCUGAAGAGCCUACUGUACUCCAACGUUCUCUGCGCGUCUUCGGCGUACAACCACUGUGGCGGCAAGGUCGAGAUCAAGUACUACGUGGUUCCUGGGCACAACGAGACCGGACCUGCUCUGUCCCAGGGCGGCGCCGCGACGGGGAACCGUUACCCUGGCUUCACCAGGGUGAACCACGGCAAGUACGCCGUCAGCGACGUGAGGGCGAACGUCGGCACCAGCAACCUCAUCUGGGACUACUUCUACACCACGGCUGGAGUCAGCUUCGGGACAUACAACCCCAGCAUUGUCGCGCAGCUGCAGGAUGUCUUUGAUGCGGACUGGUAUUCUCCUUAUGCCGUGCCGGUUGAACCGCUGGAAGAGUCUGUGUAGGAUCAGCUGAGAGUCCAAUCCUCUUUUGCGUGUGUGUGUGUUUGGGGUUGGGGGGGGGGGGGGGGGGGGGGGGGGGGGGGCACACAUAGCCAGACAUCAUUGUUUUGUUCUGAGAACUGGCAAUUGAUUCCUAAAUGUAUAAUUAUAAAUGUGAAUACUUUCCGCUGAAAUGGAAAGGUACACGGACACUUUUGAGGAGUAGUACAAUUUUGUUUCCAGAUUCUUGAA